rnacentral:sRNA from 1 species
UUUGCACAUUAAUUGGAGACUCAUCAACCGUGGGAGCUGCCGUAGAAGUAUUUCUCUACUCCAUACAGAAGUCAAAGCUCUACUUUGGGCGAUGAAGUGUAUGAUUGGCACCGACAACAAAAAAGUAGUAUUUUUUACAGACUGUUCAGACCUGGUGAAGAUGGUGUAUUCUCUAACCGAAUGACCAGUGUUUUUAACUUAUUUGGAGAAAUUCCAGACCGAUAAGGAAGAAUUCACAAGAUUUUUCUUAUUUUUAAUUUCUCGUACUGCAAAUGUUAAAGCGGACAAAUUGACACGAAAAAUUCAUACCAAAUCGCUUCAUAUCACUUUUUGUAAAU